CAGCUAGCUGGUGGGGUAAGAGCUCACCAGGGCUGUGAUCGGUAGCUGGUCUGAGAGGACGAGCAGCCACACUGGGAUUGAGAACGGCCCAGACUCCUACGGGGGGCAGCAGUGAGGAAUUUUCCGCAAUGGGCGCAAGCCUGACGGAGCAACGCCGCGUGCAGGACGACGGCCUUCGGGUUGUAAACUGCUUUUCUGGGGGACGAGCAAGGACGGUACCCCAGGAAUCAGCCCCGGCUAACUACGUGCCAGCAGCCGCGGUAAUACGUAGGGGGCAAGCGUUGUCCGGAGUUACUGGGCGUAAAGCGCACGCAGGCGGUUGCACGCGUUUCCGGUGCCAGCUCGUUGCUUAACGACGGGAGUGCCGGGAAGACGGUGUGACUGGAGGACCUCAGAGGGACAUAGAAUUCCGGGUGGAGUGGUGAAAUGCGUAGAUAUCCGGAGGAAUACCAAUGGCGAAGGCAGUGUCCUGGGAGGUAACUGACGCUAAGGUGCGA
rnacentral:rRNA from 1 species